rnacentral:rRNA from 3 species
UACGGAGGAUCCAAGCGUUAUCCGGAUUCAUUGGGUUUAAAGGGUGCGUAGGCGGAAUGAUAAGUCAGUGGUGAAAUCCUGCAGCUUAACUGCAGAACUGCCAUUGAUACUGUCAAUCUUGAGUACAUUUGAUGUGGGCGGAAUGUGUCAUGUAGCGGUGAAAUGCUUAGAUAUGACACAGAACACCGAUUGCGAAGGCAGCUCACAAAACUGUAACUGACGCUGAGGCACGAAAGCGUGGGUAUCAAACAGG